rnacentral:rRNA from 1 species
CGUGUCCUAGGGAGGCAGCAGUGAGGAAUAUUGGUCAAUGGCCGUAAGGCUGAACCAGCCAAGUAGCGUGAGGGAAGACUGCCCUAUGGGUUGUAAACCUCUUUUAUGCGGGGAUAAAGGUGUCCACGUGUGGAUGUUUGCAGGUACCACAUGAAUAAGGACCGGCUAAUUCCGUGCCAGCAGCCGCGGUAAUACGGAAGGUCCGGGCGUUAUCCGGAUUUAUUGGGUUUAAAGGGAGCGUAGGCCGGUCUUUAAGCGUGCCGUGAAAUUUUGUGGCUCAACCAUGAGAGUGCGGCGCGAACUGG